UUUCUUAUAAAUAAUAAAAUAAUCUUUAAAAAAAACUUCCUAUGAUAUUAUUUCUGUGAAAUUACAAUUGCUUUUUAGAAAACCACACCUAAAAUAUCAAUGUAAUGUCUUUUUAGGCCAAGUAGCCGACUUCUGCAUGCUGGUUACCUAACAGACAGUGAGGAUGAAUCAAGACCUCAGCAGUGUGGCAACGGCUUAGCCAGUGCUCCACCAGUCUGUCCACCCACAUAUCAAGCCCUUCAUCCUCCCAUGAUGUCUCACCAAAACGAGAUGAGACAUGACAGUUUGUCCUCCACUAGCCAAUGGAAUACUGACCAGGACCAGAGGAGCAGCUUGCAGUGGGGACCCCAGUUUGAGUAUCACCCUAAUCCAAGAACACAGCCCACACCAUCGUGGUCUGCAUGAGAAACUACAAACUCACUAAUGCGGGAAAUGCUGACAAAGCGAGAAAUGAUUCUCGACCAGCAGAAACACAUUCUCCAUCUGCUCCAAGCAAGAC